rnacentral:rRNA from 1 species
UGGGGAAUCUUGCGCAAUGGCCGAAAGGCUGACGCAGCGGCGCCGCGUGGAGGAUGACGCCCUUCGGGGUGUAAACUCCUGUUGCCCGGGACGAAUACCCGUUUCGACGGUGGUGACGGUACCGGGUGAGGAAGCACCGGCUAACUCUGUGCCAGCAGCCGCGGUAAUACAGAGGGUGCGAGCGUUGUCCGGAAUCACUGGGCGUAAAGGGCGCGUAGGCGGCUGGGUAAGCGUGUGGUGAAAGCCCGGGGCUCAACCCCGGGUCGGCCAUGCGAACUGUCCAGCUGGAGCACGGUAGAGGCACAUGGAAUUCCGGGUGUAGCGGUGGAAUGCGUAGAGAUCCGGAAGAACACCGGUGGCGAAGGCGGUGUGCUGGGCCGUGGCUGACGCUGAGGCGCGACAGCGUGGGGAGCAAACA